UAAUGGCCUUUUGUCAGAGGGCUCUCUGAACCGGCUGAAUGAACGCAGAUCUGCUUUACAUGACAGUCCUUCCUGGGAUUCGGAUGGAGAAUGAUGUACCUUGACAAAAUUGUAAUCUAUGUGUACAGCGGAAGAAUGUUUUUUAUCAUUCUACAGGGGAUGCUUUGGCUCAGAGGUGGACGCUGCAGCAUUCCAGCACGAUGCCUCUUCAGUUCAGGAAUCUGAUGAGCUCAUGUGUCAUUAAUAUGAAAGGAAUGGCUCUUACAAAGGCCAGGAGACAAAAGUACGUGAAGUCUCAGCACAUUAAAGAGAAAAGCUUUGCCAUGUGUUGAAACAAAUUAGUGGAGCUACAGGGGAAAACCCACAGAUUGAGUCAUCUGCCAGACAAGAAGGCCAUAAAAGCACAAGCCAAAUGACUGCACAUUUUCCUUCAAUGGCUAACUAUGAACACUGAAGCCACAAUAACUGACUUAUUCUCUACUCAAAAAAGUCACAUCCUUUCCAGCCUGUUUGGGGUAUUUAAUCACGAGAGAGGCUGCUCUUCAGAAACUCAGUGGCAAGCACCCAGGAAUGUUUACGCCGUGUGCUGGAGCACGAUGGAGAUUCCCUUGAGCUCGCUGCAAACAGGGAGCCUGCAGUGCGGAGCCAUGGGGACCCACCACCUCCAGUCUGGACGCCGUACACAUGGGUUUGCACUGUGCUGCCAUUCAGCUCACGACCCCUGCCUCUUGAAAUGAAGCUUCUUGACCAAGUAAACUCAGAAAUCUGUGCGCUAAAAUUCACACAUGCUAUUAAUUGUUUCAAAGUCUGUUUUAGGUCUGGUUUCGCAAACCAUUGAACACCUCCACCUUGUACUAAAACCGCUGCAAACUGACAGCUCCCAUCUUCUCCUGGGAACACGCAGAAUGCAGCAGACCUCGACCUUUGUUUUGCUGUUCCUAAGUCCACAAAACUUAUUUACUUUUCCUUUAUGAAUCUUUCAAACAAAGUUAAAUGAUUACAGUUUCUAGUUCGUCUUUUCCAGAAUGCAAGUCAUAAGUCACAAUGUAAAAUCAAUCAAAAUGUUCCUUCAAUCAGACAUAAAAUGCCAAAUUUACAGUUCUGUACUCCUGUUAUUAAAUGCAUUCUUUUUCACAGAGGAUGGAAAGGUCAGGAUUUUUCUCAUUCUCCAUAAUUUUAUUGCGAUUUUGAAAAAUAUUCCUGUCCCAAGUUGAGGCAAACUGACAAACUUGGCAUUGCCUUUCUCCCUUUAAAUACAUUCAGAACAAUUUAAAUCUUUAAUCUUCCCUUUUACUGCAUUUAAAUGUAACACUAGGGUAACAUACUGAAAUGAAGAAUAAUUUUCCACGGACAAAUGAAACUUCUAACUUUCAAAAUAUCCCAGGGAGAGACCUACACAAAGAGAAAUGCCUUUUCUACUCAAAAAUACCCAAAAUGAAUGUGGGUGAUUUACUGAAAACAAUUCUGCUCUGCAAGCAGUCUUUCUUUUGAUGCAUGAAUUAUGUUUACAAAUUAAAAAAAAGGUUAGCUUGGGAAUUUGUGCACCUGCUCUGACUUUUCUUUACCUCACCAAAGUCUGAGGAAAAUAAGGAGGGGCAAAGACGGCUGAGCAAUACUUCACAGUGACAGCUCAGCCUCGCCAUUCCAGUGUGGCUGGAACAAGAGAUACGAGGACAUUCAUCACUCCCUGGGAGUUUUUCAUCACUACAAAUAAACACACAAUCACUGCCCACCCUGGUGCUUCCCUGCAGCCCCACGUGCUCUGAGUCAGCGUGGAUUUUACCCUUCUCUCCUCUAUCACGUGCAAGGUGGAGACGCACUACAGAGAUUCUUCAUGUGGAGUCUCCCGUCUCUGGGCAAAUUUAAUCCGCAAAGUUGCAAAAGACUAAAUGGCCUUAAGCAAGGGGAAAAAAAUAUAAAGAUGACUUCUGUAAAAAAACCAACAAAAUAGAACACCUGCCUUUCCCUCAAACCAAACUAAUUAUGGCAGCAGUGCUAGGCAAGAUGAGAUUCAGAGAAGGGAAAAUGAAGCAAGAAGAGACAUCUUUACUUUCAACCUGUGUUAUAUCGCCAUUCAAGUCUUCAAAAGAACGUGAAAAAAUCCCCCAUUAAGAGACAAAGUCAAGAAUAACAUAAAUAUAAAGCAGAACCUUUUUUUAAAAACUGGUUGCUGUAGAAGCUUGGGGAGAAUGUGGGUUUUUUUUUUUCCUCCUUCACUUUGGUUUGCCUUUAAUCUUCCAAUUUCUCCUGACCCUUAAUAAAUAAUUAACCAGCUGUUGAGGCAGGCCGUAUGUGAUGUAGUCAUACAUCAAACUUAAUAGGAAAAUCAAAGUUUACUUAAGUACAGAAGGCACUGAGAGAGAUCACAGCGUAGCAGCAAGAAGGCAUUUCAGUAACUUACUCUUUUCACAUAUUGAAAAGGUCUUAUAAAAUGAUGUCAGCUGCAUAUUUAUUUUAAUAUCAUUC